CCUACGGGAGGCAGCAGUGAGGAAUAUUGGUCAAUGGACGAGAGUCUGAACCAGCCAAGUAGCGUGAAUGAUGACUGCCCUAUGGGUUGUAAACUUCUUUUAUAUGGGAAUAAAAUGUUCCACGUGUGGGAUUUUGUAUGUACCAUAUGAAUAAGGAUCGGCUAACUCCGUGCCAGCAGCCGCGGUAAUACGGAGGAUCCGAGCGUUAUCCGGAUUUAUUGGGUUUAAAGGGAGCGUAGGUGGAUUGUUAAGUCAGUUGUGAAAGUUUGCGGCUCAACCGUAAAAUUGCAGUUGAAAAUGGCAGUCUUGAGUACAGUAGAGGUGGGCGGAAUUCGUGGUGUAGCGGUGAAAUGCUUAGAUAUCACGAAGAACUCCGAUUGCGAAGGCAGUUCACUGGACUGCAACUGACACUGAGGCUCGAAAGUGUGGGUAUCAAACAGGAUUAGAUACCCGGGUAGUC
rnacentral:rRNA from 1 species